ACGUCAAGGAGUCGACACGCUGCGAGAGACGCUCCGGCUCCGUCGCCAGGCCAAGGAUAUCGCGCCUCUGUUUUUGAGACUGAAAUCGCAGGCAGUGGAGAGGAUGUCAGGAGCGCGGGCUGGAGGGGCGCCGCCCUUGGGUAGCCUUCUCCUGCUGUUGGCGUUGGUGGCGAGAGGAGCUCACGCAGCUUUCUCCAUCAAGGGCAUCACCUGGAACGCCGAGU